rnacentral:lncRNA from 1 species
AAUUCAGUCGCUGCUGUACCUUUGGUUCGGUUGAACGUCGCCGGAGGAAACGGAAGUUUAAGUCACGCGAUAAAUAAAUCAUGAAGUUCUUAUUGAUAUUUUCUGCAUUUUUCACGGUAUUACAUGCGCAGAAUUAUACUUGCGGACGGGAAAAAAUCAAUGUUACAGAUGGGUAUAUCUCUGAAAAUAACUUGAGCCAACACGAUCUUAUUAUAAAUAAUAGAGGGCAAAUGAAAUUGGCCUACCCUCAGCCACGUGAAAGGCUCAUAGAUCUUGUGCCAUUAUCAAAGUUUGACCCACCCGUGAUUUCCGUCAAAAGGUGCUACGGGUACUGUCCGUCACGUCUCAACUAUAAACCGUCAAAAAUCACCAAGAAGCAAAUUAUCGUUAAACAUCGAUACAGGGAUGCGAAAAAUGAGACACACUCGGAGUACAUCUCAAUAGAUGUCGAGGAACAUGUCGAAUGCAGCCGUUGUAUAUGCCUGAUACCGGAAGACGACUGCGUGAAAGACAAUAAACGCUUGAAUUCUUCUAUAUGUGCCUGUGUGUAACAGAAAUUUUGGAUGGAGCGGUAAAUGAAGCAAUAUACGUUAUGUUCCGGAAGUCACAGAUCAAAAAAGUCGACGGUUGGCAGCCAUUUGGUGAGGUGAACUUGAUUUUGGGAACAUUCCACGUAUUGUCGAGCCACGAUUGAAAAAAAAUUGCCCAACCAACUUGACGUUGAUAUUUGAAAUGGUUAAAAAGGUACUAACAAUAGGAUAACUACUACGAAGGUUAGGGAUUAGGUUUCAAAAGGGCGCAACCAGCGAUUUUUCGACUAAAGACAAUCCUGCUAACGUGUCUCAAUAGUUUUAACAUUCGGGUGGCAUACUAUAAAAAUGCAAAAGUAUUCUGACCGAAAGUGAAACAUUUUUGGCGUAAAAUGUGAAAAUUUGUAAACACUUCUUGCCAGAAGGCACCCAGCGAAAAAAAUUAAAAUAGUAGGUGAUCUCGCAGAGAAUCAGUGCAGUUCAAUUUCAGAUCUGUUUCCUACCCUAGCCUACGAUUCUUCCUUUUUCUGAAAACUUUUAUUCCCUACACACAACAUGUACUAUGAUGAACAGUUAAUUUGAGGACGUAAUAUUUAUUACAAGGAAUUACCAAUUUUUUACUGUUAACCUAAGAUAUUAAGUAUUACUAACCAAGCUAUUACAAUAAAAACAUUAUUACUGCGAUU